GGGGGCGUGGCGGAAUUGGCAUACGCAGCAGUCUUUUUAUCUGCCGCCGCAAGGCUUUUGGGUUCGAGUCCCACCGCCCCUACCA
rnacentral:tRNA from 1 species